rnacentral:rRNA from 1 species
CCUACGUGAGUCAUCAUUAUUUAAUCUUCCACCAUUUUCUAAAUCCUUCUUUAUCAACUCCUCUUUUUUGAAGAAUGUCUUCUUAUCGUAAAACCCUGUUGUUCGAGAAGAAAGUGCGUGAGAGUAACUGUUCACGUUUCGACGGUAUCUAACCAGAAAGCCACGGCUAACUACGUGCCAGCAGCCGCGGUAAUACGUAGGUGGCAAGCGUUAUCCGGAUUUAUUGGGCGUAAAGGGAACGCAGGCGGUCUUUUACGUCUGAUGUGAAAGCCUUCGGCUUAACCGGAGUAGUGCAUUGGAAACUGGGAGACUUGAGUGCAGAAGAGGAGAGUGGAACUCCAUGUGUAGCGGUGAAAGGCGUAGAUAUAUGGAAGAACACCAGUGGCGAAAGCGGCUCUCUGGUCUGUAACUGACGCUGAGGUUCGAAAGCGUGGGUAGCAAACAGGAUUAGAUACCCGUGUAGUC